rnacentral:rRNA from 1 species
UAAAUUUUACUUACCUGGGUAUUAAUAGUUAGGUUCUUAAAACCCAAAGAAUUUGGCGGUACCUCAUUCCUUUCAGAGGAACCUACCCCGUGAUUGAUAGUACACGAUUAACUUUACUUGAUUUAUUUGCUUGUAUAUCUCCGUUAUCAGAGGAUCUUUUUGGGGUAAUAAUUUUCUAAAUUUAUAAUUUUAAAUUAUUUCAGGUCAAGGUGCAGCUUAUAAUUAAGUGGAGGUGGGUUACAAUAAAUUAUUUGUUUAUUAUGGAAUUAAUAAUGUAAAAUAUUAAUGAAGGUGGAUUUGAUAGUAAUUUAAUUUAUUUAAUUUAAUUGAUAUUGGCUCUGAGGUGUGUACACAUCGCCCGUCGCUCUCAUUAUAAAAUUUAUUAUAUAUUUAUGAUUUAACUUAGAUGAGAUAAGUCGUAACAUAGUAGAUGUACUGGAAAGUGUAUCUAGAAAGAUAAU